rnacentral:lncRNA from 10 species
ACAAUAACAUGGAUAGUACAUGUCGAUGUGAGCAAUGUGAACAAGUUCAGUACUGAAAAGACCUAUCUAGGUAAAAUACCCUAAAAGGAGGUUUGGAGUAGUGCAGCGCAGGGAAGGGGAAGGUAAGUAGAAUAGCAGAGAUAAACUCUCCUUUGUUGUGUCAAAAAGAAAAGAAUGAGAUGUAUCACAUUUUUAUUUUACUGCCUAAUUUCAGUUCCAGGUAAAAAAGAUCCAGUGAUGUAGCAAGUAGUUUGUUAUGUUGGGUUUAAAAAUUUUCAUAUAGCUACAAAUGAAUGCAUGAGAAUUAUAAGCAUCAAAGUCAGAAUCCUGAAUGUAUCAAGUAUAUAGGACACAGGGCUUCAACUGUAUUGGAUGAUUUUAUCUCAAGUUGAAUGUUGGCCUCACAGAAGUUGUUUAUAGUAUUUAAUUUUUUCAAAAUCUGAAAUAUUUCAUAAUUAGAAAAAUAGUAAAAAAAGUUGGGUUUUCAGUGUAGCACUGUAAUUUAUUUCAUUUCUUGACUAAUUAUUCAAGCCCUUGAUAAACAAUGGUUAUGGGAUGACUUACGUGUAGCUCUCAAGUUCUAAAUAAUGUUAAGUUUAGCAGAUAAGGCAGUUUAUCACAGUGUCCGUUCACUCAGACAGCAUAAGUAUGUGUUGAUAAAAUAAUCUUAAAUACAAGAACUUUAGUAAAGAAAUAAGCCACUUCAUUAACAUUGUAAAAUAGUUUUAAGAUAUAAAGUAUGAAAGGAAUUUUACAGUGUAUAAAUUUUCUGACUUUCCAAUUAGCAAUUAUAAAUUUUUAUUGACAAUCUUAUUUUGAAAACCCCGGAGUUUUCAAAUAUUCUGCAUUUAUGUUGACCAUUUUACCAAGAUGAUAAAACAUGCAUUAUUUUCUCCAUUUUAUAAUUUUUACAGGGGGAACAGCGAAGCCAGAUGAUUUAUUAGUUAUUGCCGGUGAAAAUACAGAGAUCCUUUGAAACAUUUGUCUCUCCUAGAAUUCUCAUCAAACCAUAUGCUUCUAACACAGCACUUAACAGUCAUGGGGAGUAUGUGGGAAUAACAGAGACUCGCUUCCCUGCCAAAACCACACAUAGACCCACACACUUGAAAAAUAAGGAAAUAAGAUCAUCUGAGUAUGGAGAUUCCUCAAAAAUUAAAAUUAUAUCCAGCAAUUCCACUUCCGGGUAUAUACCCAAAAGAAGUAAAAGCAGGAACUUGGACAGAUAAUUUGUACAUCUAUGUUCACAGCAGCAGCAUUCACAAUAGCCAGAAGGUGGAAGCAAUCCAAGUGUCCAUCAAGGGAUGAAUGGUUAAAAGAAAUGUGACAUAUACACACAAUGGAAUAUUACUCAGCCUUAAAAAGGAGGAAACUUCUGAUAUAUAUUACAUCUUGGAUGAAUCUUGAAGACUUUAUGAUAGGUGAAAUAAGUCAGUCACAAAAUGACAAAUACUGUGUUACCCCACUUUUAUGAACUCCUAGAAUAAUCAAAUUUAAAGUGGAAUGGUGGUUGCCAAGGGCUGGAAGGCAGAAGGAAUGGGAGCUUAUUGGUUCUUGUUUUUGUUUUGUUUUUUUUUUUUUGAGACGGGAGUCUCCUUCUGUUGCCUAGGCUGGAGUGCAGUGGUGCAAUCCCAGCUCACUGCAACGUCUGCCUCCCAGGUUCAAGUGAUUCUCAUGCCUCAGCCUCCCACGUAGCUGGGAUUACAGGCAUUCAUCACCACAACCAGCUAAUUUUUGUAUUCUUAGUAGAGAUGGCCAUCAUGUUGGCCAGGCUGGUCUCGAACUCCUGACUCCAGGUAAUCCGCCCACCUCAGCCUCCCAAAGUGCUGGGAUUACAGGCGCGAGCCACUGUGCCCGGCUGGGAGCUUAUUGUUUAAUGGGUACAGAAUUUCAGUUUGAGAAGAUGAAAAGGUUCUGGAGCUAGAUGGUAGUCAUAGUUGCAUAGCAAUGUGAAUGUACUUAGUUCCUUUGAACUUAAAAAUGGUCAAAAUGGUAAAUUGUUAUGUAAAUUCUACCACAAUAAAGUUCAGAAAAGUUAAUUUGUAAAAUAAGCAUAAUGGUUCAGCAAACAAAACCCAAAAUAUCUUCCAAAGACCUGAUUGACAGUAUUACCACUAAUGAAAGAACGUUCCACAUCAAGAGAUACUGGUCAGCAAAGAAAAUUUAAGAGGAGAAAGGAUGGGCUGGGCGUGGUGGCUCACGCCUGUAAUCCCAGCACUUUGGGAGGCCGAGGCAGGUGGAUCACGAGGUC